AUGGCCAGCUAGACACUACAUUUCCCAUCCUUCUAAUCCAGCUUGACACAAUCACAGGACUAAGUUCUGGCAAAUGGAAUGUAACAAGAAAUAGGACGCGGUAGGAGCCAGAGCAACCAUCUUGAUCUUGGAGAUGAAGCUACACGUCGAAAGUGAUAGAGAUACCCUUACAGCCCUGCACCUCCCAGCGCUGGACAGAGAAAUAAACUUCUACUAUGCUAUGCUA